rnacentral:rRNA from 1 species
GGAAACUAGGGGUGCUUCCAUCUGGAAGAAUCUGGAGACAGGUGCUGCAUGGCUGUCGUCAGCUCGUGUCGUGAGAUGUUGGGUUAAGUCCCGCAACGAGCGCAACCCUUGCCUUUAGUUGCCAGCAGUUCGGCUGGGCACUCUAAAGGGACUGCCGGUGUUAAACCGGAGGAAGGUGGGGAUGACGUCAAGUCCUCAUGGCCUUUAUGACCAGGGCUACACACGUACUACAAUGGCCGAUACAAAGGGCAGCGACACUGCGAGGUGAAGCCAAUCCCGUAAAAUCGGUCUCAGUCCGGAUUGGAGUCUGCAACUCGACUCCAUGAAGUUGGAAUCGCUAGUAAUCGUGGAUCAGCGUGCCACGGUGAAUACGUUCCCGGGCCUU